UAUAAACCAUCAGUCUCCCUCUCUCUCUACCUCACUUGUAAAUGGGAUGGAGAAAACGGCAGCAGCUGCAGGAGGAGAGAUUGGAAGCUUGAAAACGUCGCUGCUGCGAAUCGUUGUGGAACAUCACCAGUCCUCCCUCCAAAUUCGACACCAAACUGAGAAGGCAAAGAAUGAUGCUCUAAGAAGUGCUAUGCGUGUAUCGGAACUUCUGGUCAACACUGUAAAUAGUGGGGUGGAAGAAUCCUUUGUAAAUGAGAAGCGUAUUGAACUCGAGAUACGUGCUCUAGCCAGUACUGUUAUGCGCUACACAAAGCAAACAAAUCAAUGGCUGGCUGCUUCUCAUGCUCUAAACACUGCUUUAAAGGAGAUUGGUGAUUUUGAGAAUUGGAUGAAGACAAUGGAUUAUGAUUGUAAAAGCAUAAAUGCUGCUCUCCGCAACAUUCACCAGACAUGAAUUGAAGCGUUCGAUCCUCAACAAACCCAGAAUAAUUCAUGAAAUCUAAACUCGGAGACGACUUCACAGUCCACAUACAACAUUGCAUGCGACCAUCUCUUACAGAAAAGUUGGCUAUUGAACACUACAAAUGGUCAAUCUGGAUCGUCCAUCAGAUCGAGUACUCGUGUCAUGGGCAUCCAUGGAAAAAUCCCACCGAUCCGAUUGUUAAUCCUGUGAUGGAUGACUCUCCUUGGUAGCCAUCCGUUUUCCAGGCCAGAGAUGGAGUGGCUAGGAUGACGUGACAGAAGUGAUGCUUGAGAAUCGU